UGUACAGGCCAGUUUAAUUGUGAAAUCUGACCUUUCUUACCGAUCACCACUCAGAUAAUGUACGCUUUUGAAGCGUAAUACAAUUUAUGUUCAUGUAUUUUGUUUUCAUCUGAGUUUGAGUGUAACUACUGUAGGGGAUAUGAAACUAAACCUGUAGCCAGUUGUUAGUUUUCUUAGCUUAUCAAGUUUUGCUUCUCAAAAAAUAUGAAAGAAUUCAGUACAGGUGUGCCUUUUUUGCAUUUUGGUUGGUACUUGAGCCUCAAAUAGUUCAACAGCUUCUUUACACAGAUUUUUGAAUGAUAAUCCAUCUGUGCAGAUGCCAUACUCAUUGUUUUGACUGGAUAAAGUACAUUUUAUCAGCCACAAUAAGAAGGAGGAAAAGACCAUGAAAAUAAAUUUUAUGAAAUAAAAACUAUUAUUUGAUAUUUUAUAAUUUAGAAUUUCUGUUUUCAUCAGAACAAAUGUUUUUUAAGGAAUCAGAAUUACAGAAUGUAAUGUGAUUUGUUUAUUGUUUUAUGGCAAGAAGAGUAUCAAAAACAAAACAUUGAUUAUAUUUGUCUCUUCCAUUCAGUCACAGAAGAUUAAAAAGCCUCAAGGUUCGAUUUUAAUGAAGGCAAGAUAUCAUAGCUUUUUCUGAUCACUUUUAAUAACUUGUCAAAUGUUUUUCAAUGUAUUUUGGGUUUGCUCUUCAUCUUUUACAGUCAACACAUUUUAGACAUAUGAGGAACUUACUGAUUGAUGAAGUCCAUACAUUCAUAGUUAGCUUUCAUUGUUAAUUCAAUUUGAGAUGAUCUGCAGUUUGUAAAACCUUGAAGAAAAAUUUGGAACAACAGGUAUAAUAGCACAUUACAAACAACAUCAUAAGCAAACUCAUGAACCAUAUAUUGUCAGAAAAAGGAAAUAACUCCUGUAGAGUCUAGAUUAUAAACUGUCAGUGACAGUAUUCAUUUAAAUGAUUAUGGUUGAUGUUCUGUAACACAGUUUCACUCAACAAAUGUUUACACACUUAUCCCCCCCCCCCCCAACCUAUAUUUAAUUUUCUAUGAUAUAUCGAUCAGUCCUUACCUUUUUAUGUGAGCAUUAAUGUCUGACCUGUAUGUUAAAUUUCAAUUUGUAAGUGCUUAAUUUAUAAGUAUUUACUAGCAUUUAUUUUUAAUAAUACUUUGAAGCAGAGUCAUGAUGGAUGGAGUUUGUCUCUCAAAAACAACAAACUGACCCUUGUGACCUGCAGUGUUUGGUAAAACAUGAAACAAAGGGCUGAGAUAAGAAGAGGUCUAUCAUGUAAAGAGUAACCUGACAACUCAGCCAAUCAAUCGUGAAUCUGAUGCGUGACAGCAUCAGCAUUAUUUACACUAAUUUUUCUGGUUGUAAUAGAAAUUCAUCUCUCAGUGAGUUUAUUCAACAAGAGGGAACUUUUAUUUUUCUUGAAAAAAACAGCAAAAACAUAACAAAUAAUGCUUAAAGGAUGUACUUUGAAAUGCACAGUCCAACAUAACAUUAUAUUAUCAAUAUAUAUAUUUAGUACAACAAAAAUAAUUUAUUUUUUCCUCUUUGCCAAUGUGAACAAUUACAAUUACAAAGUUAAUUUCAGAAACUUUAAAUUAUUUUUUUAUUAAAUAAAAUGUUUGAAGACAUAUUCUUCUGCAUUGGGUAGAUUUGACUUAAAAUUAGGAGUUUUAUACGUUUGAAACUUUUAAAAGAAAAAAUUUAUGAUGUGCAGUUCCAUGUUCUGUUCAAAAGAGGGCGAUAAUGAGCACAAAGCUGUUCUCGACGACUAAUGACCGGAGCGCUGAUAACAAGAAGAAGAAAGAUGCUGAGGCUGCGGAUGCCACGCUGGAUUAAGGUAGAAGCACGAGGAGGAGGCCCGAGUUCACACCCGAGCUGGAACUAGGAACACGCUGACCUGUGUGUGCUGAGGUGAGAGAGAAGCAGGUACAAAUGGCUGGUUAGGCCACAACAAUAAACGAAUGGGUAUAAAGCGCUGGAGAGAGUGUUGGGAGCAGGGAUCACAUCGGGAUAUUAAUAUUGUUAUAAACAUCUCUCACCCGUCAGCAGGCUUUAGCUCCAGGUUGUUGCGGAUUGAACGGUAUCGUCUUCUCGGUUAUGGCAUGUUUUUGAUCGCAUGGCAGAAUUCUGUGUUACUUUCCCUGUAGUAAAUACAGUCAGACACCAUGCCAAAGGAUUGUUUUCACAUGACUAAGCAAGAUCUGCUUUCAUUCAUGGGCCUGUUUCUGAACGUCAGAGUGAACACAGCAACACAAAGCUCAGAUUUGCAUUUAUUAGUGAUAAACUUGUUUGUUUACGCUGUUGCUGCAUUUGUCCUGAUGGUGUUUGUUGUGUUUUGCAGCAUGAGUUUUACGGACUAAUCCACACUCACAGGUCGUUGUAACUAACCUUCAGACAGAGAACGGGCCUCACUCAGGAUGGUAUGUUUGUACCCUCUCUGUUAACACGAUAACACACCUAUGGUGAUCAGAGGCAUGGCUGAAUUCUGCUCCAGCUGAUGUGUGCGGGAUGCAGUCAGACACCAUGCCAAAGCCUCGUCUCAUUUCUGCCAAACGCCUGGACGGUGGCUGCUCUUUAGCUUCGUCUGUCUGCAGAGAAAUGAGUACAAUGAUGUGCUGUGUUGUGUUUUUGUACUAAAUUAUUGUCUUUUCCUAAAUUUGCUUUAUUGUUUCUAAAACAGGAUUCUGGGCAUGCUGUGAGCGCCAUGGUAACUUAUCUUUUUCUUUACAAGCAAAACUCAGCGUGUUGUGUCAGUGUUUCUUUGUCCUGUUGUGAAUCCUGGUGCUGUGAUAUUCUCCUUUCUUUAAUAAAUUAUUUAAAUUA